CCCCUCUCAGGGUCAUACCUGGAGAGUUCCCAAUACUCUACCAGUCUUGGCUACAGGAGGGAGAGUCAGGCAGAGGCAUAUCCAUUCCAUUCUAGCUUGGGCAGUGACUAGCGAGUGGAAGGCAAUCUGCUACCAGU
rnacentral:snoRNA from 1 species